GAAGAACAAUAAGAAGAAGGGGACUUUCCCUAAAGCACUUAAGCCUACUGGGGGCAUUAAAAAGGACAAAGGUACUUGCCAUCACUGUGGCAAAGAAGGUCACUGGAGGAGGAACUGUGCUGAUUAUCUUGCUGCACUGAAGGAGAAGAAGCUUAAUGAAGCUUCUACUUCAGGAACUAAGAAGACCUAGACCUUUACAGAAAGGUGAAAUGGACCUACGGGUUGGAAAUGGAGCAAGGGUUGCUGCUUUAGCCGUAGGAACAUGUAUUUUGUCUCUGCCUACGGGCCUUUUGCUUGAACUUGAUAACUGUUAUUUUGUUCCAGUACUAACUAGAAAUAUCAUAUCUGUAUCUUGCCUAGCACUGAAUGGUUUUAAAUUUAUUAUUGAAGGCAAAUGUUGUUCCUUUUAUAAUAAUGAUAUUUUCUAUGGA